AUGAAUGGCCUCUGGGCCUUAAAACCUUGCAAACCCGUGGAAGCAAUGUGUGAUUUGACGCUUUGACGUCGAUUUUAUGCUACGAUUGGUUAUUUGUGUCUGAAUCAAGUUAAAGAAAAUA
rnacentral:misc_RNA from 1 species